rnacentral:rRNA from 1 species
ACAUAGCUUCUUGCAUUUCUAAGAAGUUAAGCCUGCCCGGUGAUUAUUUUAACGGCCGCGGUAUCUUAACCGUGCUAAGGUAGCAUAAUAAUUUGUUUUUUAAAUGAAAACUAGUAUGAAUGGCCCUUCAUUUUCUAACUGUCUCUCUAUAUCCUCUCUUAAAUUUCUACCCCCGUGAAGAAGCGGGGAUUCCUCAGUAAGACGAAAAGACCCUGUCGAGCUUCAGCUAAUAAGUGGUAUUACUUAAACUUUUAUUUGUUUAUAAACCACUUUAAGCUUUGGUUGGGGCAACCAUGGAGUAAUUUUACCCUCCAGUUAAAAAGAAGAAUUUUAUUCUCUUUAUUAUUUAAUGAACCAAACUAUUUUGGUAAUCAGAAAAAGUUACCGCAGGGAUAACAGCGUAAUCUUCUUUGAGAGCCCUUAUUGACAAGAAGGUUUGCGACCUCGAUGUUGGAUUGGGGCAACCAAAAAGUGCAGCCGCUUUUUAAGGUUGGACUGUUCGUCCAUUAAAGCCCUACGUG